rnacentral:rRNA from 1 species
AUGUACGGAACCCUUUAGAGAUAGAGGGGUGCUCGAAAGAGAGCCGUAACACAGGUGCUGCAUGGCUGUCGUCAGCUCGUGUCGUGAGAUGUUGGGUUAAGUCCCGCAACCGAGCGCAACCCUUGUCAUUAGUUGCUACAUUCAGUUGGGCACUCUAAUGAGACUGCCGGUGACAAAGCCGGAGGAAGGUGGGGAUGACGUCAAGUCCUCAUGGCCCUUAUAGGUGGGGCUACACACGUCAUACAAUGGCUGGUACAAAGGGUUGCCAACCCGCGAGGGGGAGCCAAUCCCAUAAAGCCAGUCGUAGUCCGGAUCGUAGUCUGCAACUCGACUACGUGAAGUCGGAAUCGCUAGUAAUCGUGGAUCAGAAUGUCACGGUGAAUACGUUCCCGGGUCUU